rnacentral:rRNA from 1 species
ACCCCUUCCGGGGCAUUGCUAACAUAGAUUGAAUACCCGUAAAAUAACAUUUUAUGAUGUUACCGUUUAAUCAUCGUCAAUGUCGUAUUAUCUUGAGGAAUAAUUGUAUAGUCUGUAUUUGUAGUAAUGGGCUAUUAUAGUUAUCUGGGGUAUAUCAACCGUUUUUUUUUUUAUAUACAUGUUCUGUAAUUUAUAUAGGAGAGCGAAUCCGCCGAAUUUAAGCAUAUAAUUAAGCGGAAGAAAAGAAAAUAACAAUGAUUCCUUUAGUAACGGCGAGUGAACAAGGAAAAGCUCAAGCGAAAUCCGUGUUUUUACCUAUUUUACAUAGGAUUAGGGCAAGGAGAUGUCGUGUAUAAAUAUUAUAGUAACCUCCUGGUAACACGAAAUAUAAAGCAUAUUUACGAAACGAGGUGGAAUGCCUCUCCCAAAGAGGGUGAAAGGCCCGUAGCAAAUAUGGUUUAGAGUUACAUUAGGAAACCUCUAUAAUGAAAAGAGUCGUGUUCUUUGAGAUUGGAGCACAAAUACGUGUGAUACAUUUCACAUAAAGCUAAAUAUGUGUAGGAGACCGAUAGCAAACAAGUACCGUGAGGGAAAGAUGAAAUAGUACUCAGGAAUGAGCAAUUAAAAAGUACCUGAAAUCGUUAAGGUGGAACGGAUUAAGAGAGAAAAAAAGUAAUGUAGUUAACUUAUGACUAUUGCAGCAAUAUCAUUAGUUUUUCUAACCGCAUUAUUAAAAGAAACAUCAGUAAAAAGUUUUUACAAUUCUAUUCGGAUAAAAACUAUUGUGCAAAAAACAGGAGAAAAGAAUUUAAUUUUUUUUUAUCCCAGGAUAAAAAAAAAAUUAAUACUCUUUUUCUUUUUUUUUUUUUCACAAUUAUCCUUAUUAUUAAAAAAAGGAUAAAACGGUUUUUAUAGAAAUCACGAAAUAAAAAUAAGUGAUAGAUAGAUCAUUUUACUGAGGUUAUAAAAUUACAAAUGUGUAUUUUGUUUUGUAAAUAUAAAAAAAAAAAAAAAGAAAAAUAUUUCUUGUGAAUAUUUUUCUUUCUUUUUUUUUUUUUUACAGCUGUACACAUUUUAAGUUGUUUCUAACGAAUACUCUUUUAACCCACUCGUCUUGAAACACGGACCAAGGAGUCUAGCAAAUGUGCGAGUGUAUAUGAUAUAUUCUAAACAUUAAUAUUAAAAAAUUACGUUGAAAAACGUGAUUUUUUUGUUUUAUACGCAAAAUUAAUGUAAUAUAUUAUAAUUUGUAGAACCCGUAUAAAAAAAAAGGUAAACUCUUUUUUUUUCUGCUGGCGCAUACAAUACCGGUAGGCAAUUAUGCCAUAUUGAGUAAGAGCAUAUUUGGUAGGACCCGAGAGGCUUUGAACUAAGCGUGACGAGAUUGAAGUCAGACGAAAGUCUGAUGGAAGAUCGAAUUGAUACUGACGUGCAAAUCGUUCAUUUCAGUCACGUUUAGGGGCGAAAGACUAAUCGAAAAGCCUAUUAGCUGGUUAUUUUCGAAAGAUCUCUCAGGAUCGCUGGAGUUGAUUAAUAUAAUUUUACCAGGUAGAGAUAAUGAUUAGAGGAAUCAGGGAAAUCGUUUUCCUUGACCUAUUCUCAAACUCCCAAUAGGUAAAAAGGGUAAAAUAUCUUAACUUGUAUUUUACUCACGUAUAAAUAAAAUAACUCCAAGUGGGCCAUUUUUGGUAAGCAGAACUGGCGAUGAGGGAUGCUCCUAACGCUUGGAUAAGGUGCCUAAAUAUUCGCUCAUUAGAUCCCAUAAAAGGUGUUGGUUCAUUAUGACAGUAGGACGGUGGUCAUGGAAGUCGAAAUCCGCUAAGGAGUGUGUAACAACUUACCUACCGAAUGAACUAGCCCUGAAAAUGGAUGGCGCUAAAGCGAAUUACCGAUACCAGGCCAUAAAAGAGUAGGAGAAUAAAAGGGGAAAAAAAAAUGGUUUCCAUUUUUUUUUUGUUUUUUUCUCAUUAAAAUUCUUUUAUGAGUAGAAAAUCGUGGGGUUUUGUGUCGAAGCGAAAUACGUGAGUUUUCGUGGAACAUAUCCCUAGUGCAGAUCUUGGUGGAAGUAGCAACUAUUCAAAUGAGAACUUUGAAGACUGAAGUGGAGAAGGGUUUCUUGUCAACUAUGUUUGUACAAGAGUUAGCCGCUCCUAAGAGACAACUGAAAAGUGUUUAAGUUAGGGUAUGUGUUGUAUGUGUUUUGCGUAAAUGCAUAUAGUGUGACCCCUGUUCUCAAAAGGGAAACAGGUUUAUAUUCCUGUGCCAUUACAAAUUUGUGGGUUACUUUAUUUUAGAUGGCAACAUAUAGAGAAAUGAACCUCUUUACAUAGGUUUUACCAUCGGGGUGCGUUUUCUUUGCACUUUACCUUUAUAGCAAACCUUGGAAUCAAUUUACUUGGAGAAGAGGUUUGUUGAAUCAAUUCGUGAUAUAAAAUAUUGUUUAUAAAAACUUCGGUUCUUAUUUACAAAAUUUUGUUCCGUUUUGUAGCAAUAGUAAUUC